AGUGAACGCUGGCGGUAGGCCUAACACAUGCAAGUCGAGCGGGGUUUUCGGACCUAGCGGCGGACGGGUGAGUAAUGCGUAGGAAACUGCCCGAUAGAGGGGGAUACCAGUUGGAAACGACUGUUAAUACCGCAUAAUGUCUACGGACCAAAGUGUGGGACCUUCGGGCCACAUGCUAUCGGAUGCGCCUACGUGGGAUU
rnacentral:rRNA from 1 species